rnacentral:pre_miRNA from 1 species
UGUUGAAUUAUAUGGUAAAGGUAUGUUCAGUUUUUUUUUAAGAAACUGCCAAACUAUCUUCCAAAGUGGCUGUACCAUUUUGUACUCCUCCCAAUAGU